rnacentral:rRNA from 1 species
UAAACGACUCUCGGCAACGGAUAUCUUGGCUCACGCAUCGAUGAAGAACGUAGCAAAAUGCGAUACUUGGUGUGAAUUGCAGAAUCCCGUGAACCAUCGAGUUUUUGAACGCAAGUUGCGCCCGAAGCCUUUUGGCCGAGGGCACAUCUGCCUGGGCGUCACAC